CUGCCACUGGAGAAGGAUCUCUGGUUGGAGAUUCUGUGAGAUCCUUCCUGUGUGGAGUCCUUUCUACGAGCCUAGAUCUUUGGAAAUGGUUUCCUUGGAAAAGGUUCCUGAAGCACCAGUGUAGAGCUCACAAUCCCGGGCGGUGUUCCCAGCCAGCACAGGUCUUCAUGGACAACUCAGCACGAGCACCCUGUGCUUGCCUCUGCUUGCUCAGGCUGUGACAUUGUGGCUGGCUCAGACCUUCUUGGAGAGAGAGUCUGCAGGGGUAAAUGAGCUUCAGAGGUGGCUGACAAUACAUGUGAAGAUAAAUCUGAGUAUUAAGGAGAUAAACAUGAUAGGUUGGUAGGAGCUUGCUUUGAGAUCCAGGAUUCCAGAGCUAGAGCGUGGAACUGAGCGCACAUGGAACCUGCUGCUGACCUGUCACCAGGUCAGUGUGGCUUGGCAAAGCACGACGGGUUCGUGUCCAUCUGAAGGCUCAAGAGUGCUCCUUGAGUGGCAUGCAAUGGAAACAUGGGCACAACUUGGUGCCAGGAAAUCCUGCUGGGCCACAGAUGACGGAAUGCAACACCCCGAGGGCCAUCCGCAGUGUGAGACAGAGCUGUCACUCUACACAACUUUUCUUCUUGCACAGACUAAAGAGCAGUGUUGAAAGCCUUUUCCUGUGGGGCAGAGAGCGAUGCGAUAGAAGAAUAAUCCUCCCGAUGUGUCCUGCUGCCUUCCCGGGCCCUGAGUGGGAGCCCUUUGCUGAGAGAAAUGGCUCACUUGUGCCAAGGCCAGAUAAAGAAUCACUGAAAGACGAAGCGUUAAAGAAAAAAAUAGAGAGAGAGGCGGAAUGGGGGUAUUUAAAAGUGUGUGAAAUGGAGGCUUUAUCGGGAGUUUUCUGGGGAGAUAAGGAGCUGGGAGGGCCCGUCUCUGCGUGGCGUGGACACACUCACUGCCUCGAGUCUCCCAGGAAAGAGCAAAAGGAGCCGCUGACAUUUCUGCUUAAAAGGAAGAAUCAAUGAAUCUUUGUUUCCCACUGCUUGCUUGCUUGACCUUAUUGUGUUGCGAAACAGAAAAGAAAGAAAAGAGUGCGGGGGAAAGGGAGAGGGGAUUCGUGCUAAUAAAACCCGAGACAAGAUCACAGCCCUCUGAUCGUCGCUGGAGAUGCUAUUAUUUGGUUGUUGUCCUACUUGCUGCC